UACGGAGGCAGCAGUGAGGAAUAUUGGUCAAUGGGCGCGAGCCUGAACCAGCCAAGUAGCGUGCAGGAUGACGGCCCUACGGGUUGUAAACUGCUUUUAUGCGGGGAUAAAGUGCGGCACGUGUGCCGUUUUGCAGGUACCGCAUGAAUAAGGACCGGCUAAUUCCGUGCCAGCAGCCGCGGUAAU
rnacentral:rRNA from 1 species